AUUGAACGCUGGCGGCAGGCUUAACACAUGCAAGUCGAGCGGGGAAAGGUAGCUUGCUACCUGACCUAGCGGCGGACGGGUGAGUAAUGCUUAGGAAUCUGCCUAUUAGUGGGGGACAACAUCUCGAAAGGGAUGCUAAUACCGCAUACGUCCUACGGGAGAAAGCAGGGGACCUUCGGGCCUUGCGCUAAUAGAUGAGCCUAAGUCGGAUUAGUUAGUUGGUGGGGUAAAGGCCUACCAAGGCGACGAUCUGUAGCGGGUCUGAGAGGAUGAUCCGCCACACUGGGACUGAGACACGGCCCAGACUCCUACGGGAGGCAGCAGUGGGGAAUAUUGGACAAUGGGGGGAACCCUGAUCCAGCCAUGCCGCGUGUGUGAAGAAGGCCUUUUGGUUGUAAAGCACUUUAAGCGAGGAGGAGGCUACCGAGAUUAAUACUCUUGGAUAGUGGACGUUACUCGCAGAAUAAGCACCGGCUAACUCUGUG
rnacentral:rRNA from 1 species